CGGAGGGUGCAAGCGUUAUCCGGAUUCACUGGGUUUAAAGGGUGCGUAGGCGGGCAGGUAAGUCAGUGGUGAAAUCUUUGGGGCUUAACCCCGAAACUGCCGUUGAUACUAUCUGUCUUGAAUACUCGGGAGGUGAGCGGAAUAUGUCAUGUAGCGGUGAAAUGCUUAGAUAUGACAUAGAACACCAAUUGCGAAGGCAGCUCACUACAGAGUCAUUGACGCUGAGGCACGAAAGCGUGGGGAUCAAACAGGAUUAGAUACCCUGGUAGUCCACGCCCUAAACUAUGGAUACUCGACGUGCGCGAUAUGACAGUGCGCGUCUGAGCGAAAGCAUUAAGUAUCCCACCUGGGAAGUACGACCGCAAGGUUG
rnacentral:rRNA from 1 species